CAUCGCCGCGCGCCUCCACAAGCGCUCUCAUUAAAUCUAAAGAAAUAACGCCACAAGAAAAAAAGCGUCGCAUUAAAACAAAAGGUGGCCAAUUCAUGAAAUCCCGGAAUGUUGUUGCGUAUGCCUAUCAGGAAAACAUCAACGAAGUUAUCGGCAAUUUGGCAUCAAUUUGUUGUGGUUGGGGCAACGGAUGUGAUCUUCUCAAGACUGGAGGCCAAAGAAGCAUUCAACACGACUCUUUCGAAACAAAGCCAGUCAAUUCUCCUAAAAUCCAUUCGAAUGCCAGAUUGGGCCUAUCUUCUUUUGAGAAUCAGAACAAAAAUUUCAGAUGCUUUCAGAUGGAAGACCCUAUACUUAACCUUACCCAACUUGGAUCACCUAGGAAAACCACAGACUUCGCCAUUCUUCCAACAAAGAACCAAAUUUGUGCAAUGAAAGUGGUGCUGUUUGGCGCUACUUACGACACUGUUGGAACUAGUGAAUUACCUGAUGGGCUCCUAGAUGCACAAGUAAACCUAGUUUCUGUGUUGGUAUGGGGUAUUCGGGAAAUGCGAUUGCAUCAAGUAGAUGGCAGUGGCAACGACCGAACGCUACAUUUCAAUUUCAAACUGGAUGUAGACCUUUUUGGGGUAAAGAACUGAUAUCGUUCGGUGUGGUAUGCAUGCAGAUGAAGCUGGAGUCACAUCUCGCAAAAGACAAAUGUCCAUUUUUGCAUUUUGAUUCUGAAAUGAAUAUUCAAGAAGAGCUCCUUUCUUUUUUACAGCGCAAAUGGGCUUCGAGUGAAGAAGUAUUGAUUACACAAGUUAAUCUUAGAUGCCUUACAAACAAGUGUCUAUUGUGAAUGUGGAGCGAAAGGUGAAUGAGUCACGGCCUGCACUGGUGCACUUAACCGGGCAUCACAGCGACCGGGGAAAAUUGAAUGAUGAAGUGCUGGAUAUUU